GCUCCUCCCGUCUCAUUUGGGCCUUUGCGGAGCAGCUGCUGCCCACACAACGCAGGGAGCGCUAUUCACAUGUGAGCACAUUAGUCACCAGAUGUCACCUUUUGCUGCCAGCCCGCUCCACAUCCAGCCACACAAUCGCACACAUGCACAUGAGGAGGGAACAUCUGACUGACUUCCUUCAGAGGGUUCGGUUGGACUCCUGACUGGCUUGGGAGUGGACACUGACACCUACAGUCCCCACCUACAUGUCCACCUGGCGCGCUCAUCUUUCAAGACCCUGGAAAAUGAAUUCGGAGAUCGGGGUUUGAAGAUCAUUUCUGAAAACAUGCGAAGACUGACAACUCUGUGGUACUUCACUUGUGGAGAUAUAGCAUAAAACAGUUUUUCGGAUUUUGACUAAAACGAGGCUUAAUUACUUGAAGGAUCUUGAGUGUCUUUGUUCACAUCGGGGGGUUAUCUGGCGCAAUUGUAUGCCCACACCCCAAAAAUGCAUCUUGCCUUUGGAAAGUCCGCUGGCGUGGCCGCUUUAGAGUGCCUCGUUGUUGGCCGCGAGUGCACGCAUGUCACUCAAGAGAGAGGCAGAAUAGCAAGAAGGUGGAAUUUUUUUCUCUCGUCCUACUUGACAGCUUCGGUCUGCUGUGGCUGCUUUAGAACGCUCCGUUGUCGGCCUUGAGUGCUUGCACGUCACACAGAGAAAGGCAGAAAAGCGAUGAUGCGGAUGUCCAACCUGACAGCCAAGAUGAGGAUUGGGGCUUCGUGCUGGCUUGACCACUUCAGAGCGCCUCGUUGUCAGCUAUGAGUGUGUGGACAUCACACAGAGAAAGGCAGAAGUGCAAGGAGGGGGGAAUUUGUUUUUUAAAAGUCCGACUUCACAGCCAGCGGGUGGACCGGGGCUUCACACUGAUGUCACCGCUUUGGAGCGCCUCAUUGUCGCGGCGUGGAAAAGCCCCGCGACGACGCGGUGGGAUAUAUUCCAGCCACCGGAGGCUUUAAGCGGAUAUAUUUUUGUGGCUACCCACUAUUUCUUUUCCAUAUAAAAACUGCAGCGUGAAUGAAAGAGAAUGGAUUUUACAGGCCAAAAAGCGCAACAUUCUCUACCUGGGUGGAGAAUUUUGGAUUGUUUACAUGUUGUUUUUCCCCCUCCUGCAUCUGAAACAUGUCUAAGCUGCGCUGCGAUGCUCACUGGCAGCUCAGAUCUUCCCUCCGACAGCCGCAACAGAUCCGCCGCUGUCACCUUCAGGGCAUCAAACGUGCGCCUGCACAGGAGACGACCCUGGGGGCGUCGGUGGGGCGAGGACGAGCGACAAUGAUGAGAUUGGGGCGUCUCUAUGCAGCCAGCAUGACUCCACUGGUGAACGAGCGCCACCUGUUGGCGAUAGUGACACAGGCAACGCGAGUGCAGGAGGGAGGAGGGGCUGACACCAAUGCAGGGAACGUGGAAGGAAGAGGAUGAAGAGCUGAUCUGCAUUAAAAGGAGGCGAGGCGGGAUCGAUACGCCGUCGCCGCUCAAUGCUACGCGGGCGCUGUUAUGAAUCUUGGCAGGCCGUGGAAAUCAAGCACAGUCAUUAGUCAUGUUAAUUACACCAAGAUAGCGACCGCAUUGAUGCCCGUAAUUGUCUUCUCGGAUUUGUGCAUGCUGUUCAAACGACGCUAUUAUGUUGACCGUUUCAGCUAACCAACACAGCAACGCCUUAGUUCCGUCGUCAUCGUCAUCAGACAACUCCUAGUUCGAGUCAGCAUUCCAGCAGAGUCAUAGUAAUGUUACUACAGUCGGCCCUCGCACUCAACACGCCAAGUGGCUAACAGGUUAGCCAGUUAACAGCCAGCCACUCUACACUCUCGUUCGCUGACUCCCACGUCACUCAACAGGCCAGGGCCCGCCUUUAAAAGCCACAGUCACAGAUACUACAGUAUAUUAAUACAUCCACCUCACAUGCAUAUUUUGUUUUGGUAUUAUACAUAAACCUGUUUAAUAAUAUAAAUAAUUAAAUAAAUGUAGGGUUGCCAUACUUCGUGGAUUUUCGUUAAUCGCUGGGGGUUCUGGAACGUGACCCCCACAAUAAAUGAGGCACUAUUUUUAAAUUAUUCAUAGUGAAUUUCAAUCACUUUUAUGGGAGUAAAUCCUUUUAUCCAUCCAUCCAUCCAUCCAUCCAUUUUCUGUACCGCUUAUCCUCACUAGGGUCACGGGUAUGCUGGAACCUAUCCCAGCUAACUGCGGGCCGGAGGCGGGGUACGCCCUGAACCGGUCGCCAGCCAAUCGCAGAGCACAUAGAAACAAACAACCAUUCACACUCACAUUCACACCUACGGGCAAUUUAGAGUCUUCAAUCAACCAACCACGCAUGUUUUUGAGAUGUGGGAGGAAACCGAGUACCUGGAGAAAAGCCACGCAGGCACGGAGAGAACAUGCAAACUCCACACAG